AACGAACGCUGGCGGCAUGCCUAACACAUGCAAGUCGAACGAGACCUUCGGGUCUAGUGGCGCACGGGUGCGUAACGCGUGGGAACCUGCCCUUAGGUUCGGAAUAACUCCCCGAAAGGGGUGCUAAUACCGGAUAAUGUCUUCGGACCAAAGAUUUAUCGCCUUUGGAUGGGCCCGCGUUGGAUUAGCUAGUUGGUAGGGUAAAAGCCUACCAAGGCGACGAUCCAUAGCUGGUCUGAGAGGAUGAUCAGCCACACUGGGACUGAGACACGGCCCAGACUCCUACGGGAGGCAGCAGUGGGGAAUAUUGGACAAUGGGGGAAGGCCUGAUCCAGCAAUGCCGCGUGAGUGAUGAAGGCCUUAGGGUUGUAAAGCUCUUUUACCCGGGAUGAUAAUGACAGUACCGGGAGAAUAAGCUCCGGCUAACUCCGUG
rnacentral:rRNA from 1 species